rnacentral:rRNA from 1 species
UACGGGGGGGGCAAGCGUUGCUCGGAAUCACUGGGCGUAAAGGGCGCGUAGGCGGGAUGGCAAGUCAGUCGUGAAAUCUCUCGGCUCAACCGAGAAACGUCGGCUGAUACUGCCGUUCUUGAGGGAUGCAGAGGAGACUGGAAUUCCCGGUGUAGCGGUGAAAUGUGUAGAGAUCGGGAGGAACACCGGUGGCGAAGGCGGGUCUCUGGGCAUCUCCUGACGCUGAGGCGCGAAAGCGUGGGGAGCAAACAGG